rnacentral:rRNA from 1 species
GAUGAACGCUGGCGGCGUGCCUAAUACAUGCAAGUCGAGCGAACGGACGAGAAGCUUGCUUCUCUGAUGUUAGCGGCGGACGGGUGAGUAACACGUGGAUAACCUACCUAUAAGACUGGGAUAACUUCGGGAAACCGGAGCUAAUACCGGAUGAUAUUUUGAACCGCAUGGUUCAAAAGUGAAAGACGGUCUUGCUGUCACUUAUAGAUGGAUCCGCGCUGCAUUAGCUAGUUGGUAAGGUAACGGCUUACCAAGGCAACGAUGCAUAGCCGACCUGAGAGGGUGAUCGGCCACACUGGAACUGAGACACGGUCCAGACUCCAAGGGGAGGCAGCAGUAGGGAAUCUUCCGAAAUGGGCGAAAGCCGGACGGAGCAACGCGGCGUGAGUGAUGAAGGUCUUCGGAUCGUAAAACUCUGUUAUUAGGAAAGAACAUAUGUGUAAGUAACUGUGAACAUCUGGACGGUACCUAAUCAGAAAGCCACGGCUAACUACGG